rnacentral:lncRNA from 1 species
UUGCUGGGACUUGAACUCGGGACCUCUGGAAGAGCAGCCAGUGCUCUUAACUGCUGAGCCGUCUCUCCGGCCUGAAGUAGGCUUUAACUAGUGAAGGGAUACCUCAGCAGCGGGAAAGGUGAACUUAGCAGUGAAAACAAGGGCAGAGAGGCAAAGCUUCCUUCUUCCGUGUCCUUUCAUGGGCCACCAGAAGGUGUGGCCCAGAUCACACCGACCUCCACUAACCAAUCACACUGACCUCCACUGACCAAUCAACAAAAGCCCUCACAGGUGUGCCCAGGUGCCUUUUUAGUUGAUUGCAGAUGUAGUCACACUGACAACCAAGAUUAGCUAGUACAGAUGGCUCUUGGAAGGAUUGACAAGAUUCACAAACUUUUAGAAAAUUAACUAAAAGAGAGAAUUCAAAUUAAUAAAAUUAGAGACAGAUGGGGAGACAUUGCAACAGACACUGAGGAAAUGCAGGAAAUCAUAAAGACAUACUUUCUAAAUAUCUACUUUAUACCAAACUCAAAAGUCUAAAAAGGAUUCAUUUCUAGACAUACUAUUGCCUACCGAAGCUAAGUCACGAUGAAAUAGUUUAAACAGACCCAUGGCAUUCAAUGGGAUAUAACCAGUAAUUAAAAAUCCCCCAACUAGUGACUGGAGAGAUGGCUCAACAGUUGGUCCAGAGGACUUAAUGUAAUUCCUAGUACCUACAGGCACUCCCAUAUGUAACUCUGAUUCCAAGGAAUCCAAUGCCAUCUUCUGGCCGAUAUGGGCAUUGCAGGCAGGUGGUGCCCAGACAUACAUUCCGGCAAAACCACCUAUAUACACAUAAAAUAAAUAAAAUCCUUUAAAAAAAACCUCCCAGUCAGGCAGUGGUAGUGCAUGCCUUUGAUCCUAGCACGCAGGAGGCAAAGGCAGGCAGAUCUCUGAGUUCGAGACCAGUCUGGUCUACAGAGAGAGUUCCAGACAGCCAGGGCUACACAGAGAAACACUGUCUUGAAAACCCACAUAGAUAUAUACAGAUACAGAUAUAGAUACAGACAUAGAUAUAGAUAGAUAACGUAAUAUACCAUAACAUAACAUAGAUAGGUGUUCUAACUAAAACAGCCUAGGAACAGAUGAAUUCAGUGCAGAAUUCACAGACUUUCAAACUAUUAACACUCCCCAAAUUAUAUGUAAAGUACAAAAGCAAGGGACACGUCCAAAUUCUUUUUACAAAGUUAUAAAACCAGACAAAGAUCCAACAACAACAGAUAAACAAAAAUUAUACUGCAAUUAUUUCUGAUGAAUACGGAUUCAGAAGUCCUCAGUAAAAUACCUGCAGAGCGAAUUAAAAAAAAGUCAAAAAGAUCAUCCACCAUGAUCAAGUCAUUGCUGGGAUGGUUCAACAUGUGUAGUCAGUAAAUAGUUUAAACAGACCCAUGCAAUUCACCACAUAACAGACGGAGAGAGAGAAAACAUGUCAUCCAAUUAUUACAUGAGAAAGGCCUCUGACAAACCUAACACAUCUUCAUGAUCAAAGUCCUAGAGACAUAUCCUGACAUAUCAUGACAUAAUAAAGACAACCCACAGCGUUCCCACAGCAGCAUCUGGCUAAGCAGAGGAAACUCCAGGCAUCCCCACUGAUAUUAGCAACAAGACACGAAUCUCUUGCUUGCCUCCUCUUCAAUAUGGUAGGGAAAAGUCUUAGCUGGAGCAAGUGAAGACAAGGGGAGGAGACGACAGAAGAGGAAGCCAAAGUAUCUUCAUUUGCAGAUAAGAUUCCAUAUAGAAUAGACUCUACCAAUGCCACAGGAAAUCUCUUCAGCAGAUAAAAUGUUCAUCAAAGCAGCACAAUAGGAAAAAGUGCACAAAAAUCAGUAGCAUUCCAAUAUACUAAUGACAAACAUGCCAAGUACUAAAUCAGGAAAAUA